CAUCUUCAGUUUACUCUGCAUUUGUAAAUGUAACAACAGAAGAUAGUUGUCGCAAGACAGUACUAAUAAAAAGGGAUUCUACAUAUUAGUGUAGUUGUUGCCACCUAAGCCAGGAUUCUACCUGUUCUGGAAACCACUCUCCAGCGUAUUAAAUGUUUCCGCUAAACAGUGUAGUUGGCGCAACAGUUGCACCGAGGGAGGCGGGGUAUCGAAAAGAACUGGAUGGAGUCGAACCCUGACAGCCGGUAACUGACAUUCAUAGCAAUUGAUGUUGAUGAUUGAAUCAACUCCCUGUCAAGAGAUUGUCUCUUGACAUCACCUGCCGCAAUCAGCACCUGACAGCAAAAUUAAAUUCAAAUCUCUCGGUAGGGCGUUAAUGAUGUAGUUGUCGGGACCGUCAAAGCACCUGACGUCACCGCUGCAACACUACCCACCCUGGCUCCCACUACUUACUCCUGCCCCAUCCUUGCCCUUGUCUGUCGAACAUGGAAACGAAAUAACAUCCCUCAGAUGAAUUAAAUCGACGAUACCUGUUGUUCGAUUUUUCAUCAGGAAUUUAUACCCAAUACCUCCACCACCACCGUUGUCGUCAACGAUUGCAGUAAUAACAAACAUAUAUAUAUAUAUAUACACACACACAUACAUAGAUACAUAUAUAUACAUAAUAGUACAUGUUUAUAAACACAUACAAGUAUACAUUAACAGACAUUUCAACAUUCUGUUUAGCUAUUCGAGUUAAAUAACGUUACCGUGAUUGUACUGCAAUGACGACCAUAACAAGAUCGGGAAUAGUAAUAAUAAGUGAGAGUAAGGCAACGAUUUUAUCAACACAAAGAUCAUCUGUGAGGAUUCUGCUUACAAACACUAACAGUGCGACCACAACAAUGACGAUAACAACGUGACGGCGAACGAGUGCUACGCUACCACCCCUCCCCAUCUAUCGGAAUGCCACUCAUUUGACUGUGGCCAUGCUGGAGCACCGCCUUUAGAUCUUGUAUAUAAGGAAAUUUGUAAAGCAGUAAGAGGAGUUUAAGAGUUUUAAUUAUUGUGCAAAAAUAAUAGUGACCUUAGAGUUGAGAAAAUUAAUUUGCAGUGUUUGAAGGUAAAUUUAAUAUCAUGGCUUUAUGAUUGCUUUGAAAAUUCUAAACUCUGAAAACUCAUUUGAUAAACUAUUUUGAGUUGUUCAAUAACAUACUUGUAAGAAACA